rnacentral:rRNA from 1 species
UACGAAGGGGGCUAGCGUUGCUCGGAAUCACUGGGCGUAAAGGGUGCGUAGGCGGGUCUUUAAGUCAGGGGUGAAAUCCUGGAGCUCAACUCCAGAACUGCCUUUGAUACUGAAGAUCUUGAGUUCGGGAGAGGUGAGUGGAACUGCGAGUGUAGAGGUGAAAUUCGUAGAUAUUCGCAAGAACACCAGUGGCGAAGGCGGCUCACUGGCCCGUAUACUGACGCUGAGGCACGAAAGCGUGGGGAAGCAAACAGGG